rnacentral:rRNA from 1 species
CGCGUCGGUGGGCGAUGCCCCGCGGGUCCGUCCCGCGGGCACGCUACCGUGCGCGCAUGUCCGGCGUCGUCGUCGUGCACUUCUCCCCUAGUAGGACGUCGCGACCCGCUGGGAAUCGGUCUACGGUCCGAGAGCGGUGCCUGUCGCGUCGCCGGUAAAACGGCACGCGGCAAACCCUCGGCCACCCGACCGGCUGCCCGGCGGUACUCGCAAGGUAUGAGGCUGUUGCGUGAGGGCACACCCGCCCGCAACAGGGAUCGUCGGUACACCCCUCCGACUCGCGUCGGAGGCGCUGACGGACCUAGCGCCGUCCCCGUCGAUCACCUAGCCAGCUGUCACCGUCGCGCUCGCGCGCGACGGUGAGCCUGUUCGCUUGGCCUCGGAGCGCGGCGAGAGCCGCGCGAUACCGGUCGGCGACGCUACUGCUUUGGGUACUCUUAGGACCCGUCUUGAAACACGGACCAAGGAGUCUAACAUGUGCGCGAGUCAUUGGGAUCAGGAAAACCUAAAGGCGCAAUGAAAGUGAAGGUCGGCCCUGGCGCCGACCGAGGGAGGAUGGGCCGCGUCGCGAUGCGGCCUCGCACUCCCGGGGCGUCUCGUUCUCAUUGCGAGAAGAGGCGCACCAAGAGCGUACACGUUGGGACCCGAAAGAUGGUGAACUAUGCCUGGUCAGGACGAAGUCA